ensembl:miRNA
CAAAGAAUUCUCUUUUUGGGCUUUCUGGUUUUAUUUUAAACCCAAAGGUGAAUUUUUUGGG